rnacentral:rRNA from 1 species
CCUACGGGAGGCUGCAGUGGGGAAUAUUGGACAAUGGGGGGAACCCUGAUCCAGCCAUGCCGCGUGUGUGAAGAAGGCCCUCGGGUUGUAAAGCACUUUCAGUGAGGAAGAACGCCUGGUGGUUAAUACCCAUCAGGAAAGACAUCACUCACAGAAGAAGCACCGGCUAACUCCGUGCCAGCAGCCGCGGUAAUACGGAGGGUGCGAGCGUUAAUCGGAAUUACUGGGCGUAAAGCGCGCGUAGGUGGCUUGAUAAGACGGUUGUGAAAGCCCCGGGCUCAACCUGGGAACGGCAUCCGGAACUGUCAAGCUAGAGUGCAGGAGAGGAAGGUAGAAUUCCCGGUGUAGCGGUGAAAUGCGUAGAGAUCGGGAGGAAUACCAGUGGCGAAGGCGGCCUUCUGGACUGACACUGACACUGAGGUGCGAAAGCGUGGGUAGCAAACAGGAUUAGAUACCCUGGUAGUC